UGAAAGCUAAAAAAUUAUUUUUCAACAUUUUUAUAAAUUAUUUCAAUUUACCUGCUGUCUUAAGUUCAACAAGAUUAUUGAUGGCUCAAAAGAUGUAACUUCACUCUAAAUUAUUUAUACUGCUCUAAUAAAUUUAUUAAGGAAUGGCACUCAUCUACUCAGGACAAAUAAAAUUGCUUUAUCUAUCUUAAGAACUUCUUUUCUGGAAAAAAAUAUUUUUAAAAGCCUCUUCUGUAUUCAAAAGUGAUGAUGUUGAAGGCAAUGAGAACUUUCUAUUUGACGAAACAAUUCUACUCUUUUUCCUUAUGCUUUGUCAGAAUGAGUUGGAGAGGAGAUUGACAUAGAAGCCUUUAGAGGAAUUUCAUAAGGGCUAACGAAUAUUCACUCAUCCAACAGUGUUCAUUGAGCAAUUUCUAUUUCCUAGGCUCCAAGCUAGGUUCACACAAUUAAACAGAACAGUGGGGACAGUCCUGGUUCCCACAUUCGAUCAGACAAUUAUUAUUCUAAAGGCACUAGUUGGAGAUUGGCUAAAAGCUGCUUGCAGCUCAUUUUGAAAAGAGAUUGGUAUAAAUUAUGAGUAAAUUAGUUAAAUACAAACUUUGAUGGACAUUAACCACUUUUUCUUCGUGUUAUUUUUUGCCAGGCACUGAAAGUCUUCAAGGCUGUCUUCCUCUAGUAAAUAAAAUAUGAUUUUAAAUACCCUGAACAUCUUCUCCUCAUUUGCGCCAGGGAGUUAACUAAGAUCCACCAUGAACGUAAUACUUAAUUUGGUAUCACUAUCCUUUUGAGAGAGACCAGUCUUUCCUGGCUUAAUUCCGGAACGGAAUACUGGGAGAGCUCAUUAUUAUUCUCGUUCCUUUUAAGGUUCCACUUUGGAAACAAAGUGAUUGAGAGGCACAUUCUAAGAGAAACUCAUCAGGAUGAGCUCAGCCGCUCCUGAUGAUGAUUUGGAAGUUGAUGUAAUUUUUUUGGGUCGGAUUAAGAUCUGGCAUUUUACCGAGCCAAAUCCUCUGUUUAAUUAUAGAGAAAAGAAAAUAUGUGCAUCAGAACAUGGGCUCAGAAGCAGAUCAAGGAUGCGUGCUUUGAGAACACAGAAAAGAGGCUUUUUUUAAUAGAGAUUGAAAGAAUUGCUCUGCACUUGGUUAUUCGAAUGCUGAUCUUUGAACUGCCCAAGACAGAAGGGAGUUAAAGAACAGCAGUGAAGAAGAAAGUCAACUGAAAGGGAGCCAAUAUUGGUUGGAUAUCUCCUAUGGUGCAGGCAUUGUAAAAAAUUGCAUUCUGCGGACAGAGAGAUGUGAGUUCAAAUCUUGGUUUCACCACCAUGUAGCUGUGUGUCUUAUGCAAUUAUUUUCUUCUCUGUGCCUCAGUGGUAUCAUCCAUAAAAUAGGAAUAAUAAUAAUACUAACUACCUUAUAGAGAGGAUACAUGGGGUCUUUAAAACAUACCUGAGUCAGAGUAAGUGUUAAACUAAUAUAAUCUAUUAUCAUUAGCUAUUGAUUUUUCAAUUAUAUUUGUCAUUAAUAAAAGUCAUCACAAACGUUUAUUUUUUAUUCA
rnacentral:lncRNA from 1 species